rnacentral:rRNA from 1 species
CGUUAAUCGGAAUUACUGGGCGUAAAGCGCGCGUAGGUGGUUCGUUAAGUUGGAUGUGAAAUCCCCGGGCUCAACCUGGGAACUGCAUUCAAAACUGACGAGCUAGAGUAUGGUAUAGGGUGGUGGAAUUUCCUGUGUACCGGUGAAAUGCGUAGAUAUAGGAAGGAACACCAGUAGCGAAGGCGACCACCUGGACUGAUACUGACACUGA